rnacentral:rRNA from 1 species
GAUGAACGCUGGCGGCGUGCCUAAUACAUGCAAGUCGAGCGAACAGAUGAUGAGCUUGCUCCUCUGACGUUAGCGGCGGACGGGUGAGUAACACGUGGAUAACCUACCUAUAAGACUGGGAUAACUUCGGGAAACCGGAGCUAAUACCGGAUAAUAUAUUGAACCGCAUGGUUCAAUAGUGAAAGACGGUUUUGCUGUCACUUAUAGAUGGAUCCGCGCCGCAUUAGCUAGUUGGUAAGGUAACGGCUUACCAAGGCAACGAUGCGUAGCCGACCUGAGAGGGGGUUCGGCCACACUGGAAGUGGAACACGGUCCAGACUCCUACGGGAGGCAGCAGUAGGGAAUCUUCCGCAAUGGGCGAAAGCCUGACGGAGCAACGCCGCGUGGGUGAUGAAAGUCUUCGGAGCGUAAAACUCUGUUAUUGGGGAAGAACAAAUGUGUAAGUAACUAUGCACGUCGUGACGGUACCUAAUCAGGAAGCCACGGCUAACUACGUG